rnacentral:misc_RNA from 1 species
AAAGUCGUAACAAGGUAACCGUAGGUGAACCUGCGGUUGGAUCAUUAGAAAAAUGAUGGACAGUGUCGAGUUCCCUCUUGGGGUUGAGCUCUUCGCUGGCCACAAACCACUUGUGCAACAUUAUUGUUUUUUGGAGGUGCUUCGGUGCCUCCAGCAUGUUAACAACUUGAACCUUUGACUAAGUAUGAGAUAAAUUGAUAACAACUUUUGACAACGGAUCUCUUGGCUCUC